rnacentral:rRNA from 1 species
ACACUCCUGCGGGAGGCAGCAGUGGGGAAUUUUGGACAAUGGGCGAAAGCCUGAUCCAGCAAUGCCGCGUGAGUGAAGAAGGCCUUCGGGUUGUAAAGCUCUUUUGUCAGGGAAGAAACGGUGAAAGCUAAUAUCUUUUGCUAAUGACGGUACCUGAAGAAUAAGCACCGGCUAACUACGUGCCAGCAGCCGCGGUAAUACGUAGGGUGCAAGCGUUAAUCGGAAUUACUGGGCGUAAAGCGUGCGCAGGCGGUUUUGUAAGUCUGAUGUGAAAUCCCCGGGCUCAACCUGGGAAUUGCAUUGGAGACUGCAAGGCUAGAAUCUGGCAGAGGGGGGUAGAAUUCCACGUGUAGCAGUGAAAUGCGUAGAUAUGUGGAGGAACACCGAUGGCGAAGGCAGCCCCCUGGGUCAAGAUUGACGCUCAUGCACGAAAGCGUGGGGAGCAAACAGGAUUAGAAACCCUAGUAGUCC